CUGGCGACGACAUGUCCCUUAGUGAUUUCCUUGGAUUCACCCACAAACCUGAUGUCCCAGAAGAACACUGACAGUGAGAAAUGUGUCUAAGAGGUGCUGCACUUUCAUAAAGUUAAGUUUACACUGGAGAGACUGCAAAGGACGUCAACAACGAGAGGAGGGUGAAGAAUGAGGGAGACAGAGGAGGUAAAUGAGUGUGUGAGGCAAGCAGAGGAAGAAGAAUCAGUGUCGAUUUUGAGAUGGCUAGAGAAGAAGAGGAGAGGUGGAAAAGUCUUUUUGUGAAGAGUCUUAUCUCACCUUGACAUUCCUCAGCUUCCUUUGCCGGACCCGGAUUCACAUCUAUUUUCUGCUUUUAUUAAGAAAUCUCG